ensembl:snoRNA small nucleolar RNA SNORA29
UUCCCCUUUUGACUGCCACAUUUUCUCCCAAUAGAUUUUAGUGGCUAUGCUUAUGGGAUAGAGUAACAUCACCAUGGUCUGAAGGGGGAGGAUUUGUGUCCUCCUUCUGUAUGAAAUGGCUAAACAGAAAAAA